CAGUCGCCGCGGUAAUACGGAGGGAGCUAGCGUUGUUCGGAAUUACUGGGCGUAAAGCGCACGCAGGCGGUCUGUCAAGUCAGAUGUGAAAUCCCCGGGCUUAACCUGGGAACUGCAUUUGAAACUGGCAGGCUAGAGUCUUGUAGAGGGGGGUAGAAUUCCAGGUGUAGCGGUGAAAUGCGUAGAGAUCUGGAGGAAUACCGGUGGCGAAGGCGGCCCCCUGGGCCAAUACUGACGCUCAUGCACGAAAGCGUGGGGAGCAAACAGGAUUAGAUACCCCGGUAGUCCCUGUCUCUUAUAC
rnacentral:rRNA from 1 species